AGAUUGAACGCUGGCGGCAUGCCUAACACAUGCAAGUCGAACGAAAUUAAAGGGGCAACUCUUUAGUUUAGUGGCGGACGGGUGCGGAAUGCGUAGGAAUCUGCCUUAAAGUGGGGGAUAACUCGGGGAAACUCGAGCUAAUACCGCAUAUGCUCUACGGAGUAAAGGGGGCGCAAGCUCUCGCUUUAAGAUGAGCCUACGUCGGAUUAGCUAGUUGGUGGGUAAAGCCCACAAGGCAAUGAUCCGUAGCUGGUCUGAGAGGAUGACCAGCCACACUGGGACUGAGAUACGGCCCAGACUCCUACGGGAGGCAGCAGUGGGGAAUAUUGGACAGUGGGGG
rnacentral:rRNA from 1 species